rnacentral:rRNA from 1 species
AUACGUAGGGGGCGAGCGUUGUCCGGAAUGAUUGGGCGUAAAGGGCGCGUAGGCGGCCCGGUAAGUCUGGAGUGAAAGUCCUGUUUUUAAGAUGGGAAUUGCUUUGGAUUCUGUCGGGCUUGAGGUCCGGAGAGGUAAGUGGGAUUCCCAGAGGAGCGGUGAAAUGCGUAGAGAUUGGGAGGAACACCAGUGGCGAAGGCGACUUACUGGACUGUAACUGACGCUGAGGCGCGAAAGUGUGGGGAGCAAACAGGAUUAGAUACCCUGGUAGUCCACACUGUAAACGAUGAAUGCUAGGUGUAGGGGGUAUCGACCCCUUCUGUGCCGCAGUCAACACAAUAAGCAUUCCGGCUGGGGAGUACGGCCGCAAGGUUGAAACUCAAAUGAAUUGACGGGG